rnacentral:misc_RNA from 1 species
UGACUUUAUUAGUGACUUCUUAUUAGUGUUCUUGCCAAAAGAAACUGCGUGAACGAGGGUGAAAUACCAUGUUGCCUCUAUCAUCGAAUCUGUUCUUGUUAGAGCUUGCCGAUGUUUGUCUGUUAGAAGUUGACAUUGUUAAUCCAGUUUAAUUUGCAUGUAGGAUGGUAUAUGAUGAUACGAAGGUGAGGUAUUCAUGCAGAG